rnacentral:rRNA from 1 species
GCAUUAUACAGCGAAACUGCGAAUGGCUCAUUAUAUAAGUUAUCGUUUAUUUGAUAGUACCUUACUACUUGGAUAACCGUGGUAAUUCUAGAGCUAAUACAUGCUAAAAAUCCCGACUCUGGAAGGGAUGUAUUUAUUAGAUUAAAAACCAAUGCCCUCUGGGCUACUUGGUGAUUCAUGAUAACUCCUCGAAUCGCAUGGCCUUGCGCCGGCGAUGGCUCAUUCAAAUUUCUUCCCUAUCAACUUUCGAUGUUUGGGUAUUGGCCAAACAUGGUCGCAACGGGUAACGGAGGGUUAGGGCUCGACCCCGGAGAAGGAGCCUGAGAAACGGCUACUACAUCCAAGGAAGGCAGCAGGCGCGCAAAUUACCCAAUCCCGAUUCGGGGAGGUAGUGACAAUAAAUACUGAUACAGGGCUCUUUUGGGUCUUGUAAUUGGAAUGAGUACAAUUUAAAUCCCUUAACGAGGAACAAUUGGAGGGCAAGUCUGGUGCCAGCAGCCGCGGUAAUUCCAGCUCCAAUAGCGUAUAUUAAAGUUGUUGUGGUUAAAAAGCUCGUAGUUGAACCUUGGGCCUGGCUGGCCGGUCCGCCUCACCGCGUGCACUGGUCCGGCCGGGCCUUUCCCUCUGUGGAACCCCAUGUCCUUCACUGGGCGUGGCGGGGAAACAGGACUUUUACUUUGAAAAAAUUAGAGUGCUCCAGGCAGGCCUAUGCUCGAAUACAUUAGCAUGGAAUAAUGGAAUAGGACGCGUGGUUCUAUUUUGUUGGUUUCUAGGACCGCCGUAAUGAUUAAUAGGGACAGUCGGGGGCAUCAGUAUUCAAUUGUCAGAGGUGAAAUUCUUGGAUUUAUUGAAGACUAACUACUGCGAAAGCAUUUGCCAAGGAUGUUUUCAUUAAUCAGGAACGAAAGUUAGGGGAUCGAAGACGAUCAGAUACCGUCGUAGUCUUAACCAUAAACUAUGCCGACUAGGGAUCGGACGAUGUUAUUUUUUGACGCGUUCGGCACCUUACGAGAAAUCAAAGUGC